rnacentral:rRNA from 1 species
GCAAACGAACGCUGGCGGCAGGCCUAACACAUGCAAGUCGAACGCUGUAGCAAUACAGAGUGGCAGACGGGUGAGGAACACGUGGGAACGUACCCUUUGGUUCGGAAUAACUCAGGGAAACUUGAGCUAAUACCGGAUAAGUCGGCAACGAGAAAGAUUCAUCGCCGAAGGAUUGGCCCGCGUCCGAUUAGCUAGUUGGUGUGGUAAUGGCGCACCAAGGCGACGAUCGGUAGCUGGUCUGAGAGGAUGAUCAGCCACAUUGGGACUGAGACACGGCCCAAACUCCUACGGGAGGCAGCAGUGGGGAAUAUUGGACAAUGGGCGCAAGCCUGAUCCAGCCAUGCCGCGUGAGUGAUGACGGCCUUAGGGUUGUAAAGCUCUUUCACCCACGACGAUAAUGACGGUAGUGGGAGAAGAAGCCCCGGCUAACUUCGUGCCAGCAGCCGCGGUAAUACGAAGGGGGCUAGCGUUGUUCGGAUUUACUGGGCGUAAAGCGCACGUAGGCGGAUCUUUAAGUCAGAGGUGAAAUGCCGGAGCUCAACUUCGGAACUGCCUUUGAUACUGGAGAUCUUGAGUUCGAGAGAGGUGAGUGGAACUGCGAGUGUAGAGGUGAAAUUCGUAGAUAUUCGCAAGAACACCAGUGGCGAAGGCGGCUCACUGGCUCGAUACUGACGCUGAGGUGCGAAAGCGUGGGGAGCAAACAGGAUUAGAUACCCUGGUAGUCCACGCCGUAAACGAUGGAUGCUAGCCGUUAGGCAGCUUGCUGCUUAGUGGCGCAGCUAACGCUUUAAG